rnacentral:rRNA from 1 species
GAGUAACACGUGGGUAACCUGCCCAUAAGACUGGGAUAACUCCGGGAAACCGGGGCUAAUACCGGAUAACAUUUUGAACCGCAUGGUUCGAAAUUGAAAGGCGGCUUCCGCUGUCACUUAUGGAUGGACCCGAGUCCCAUUAGCUAAUUGGGGAAGUAACGGUCUCACCAAGGCUACGAUUCGUAACCCACCUGGAAGGGUCGAUCGGCCACACUGGUGACUGGAACACCGCCCAGGACUCCUGCGGGUUUGCACCAUUACCGGAAUCUUUCCCAAUGGUCGAAACGGCUGACCGAACUACGCCCCCCAAAUUAAGAAAG